rnacentral:rRNA from 1 species
GACGAACGCUGGCGGCGUGCUUAACACAUGCAAGUCGAACGGAAAGGCCCUGCUUUUGUGGGGUGCUCGAGUGGCGAACGGGUGAGUAACACGUGAGUAACCUGCCCUUGACUUUGGGAUAACUUCAGGAAACUGGGGCUAAUACCGGAUAGGAGCUCCUGCUGCAUGGUGGGGGUUGGAAAGUUUCGGCGGUUGGGGAUGGACUCGCGGCUUAUCAGCUUGUUGGUGGGGUAGUGGCUUACCAAGGCUUAGACGGGUAGCCGGCCUGGGAGGGUGACCGGCCACAUUGGGCCUGAGAUACGGCACAGACUACUACGGGAGGCAGCAGGGGGGAAUAGUGCACACUGGGCGGGAGCAUGAUGCAGCAACGCCGCGUGCGGGAUGACGGCCUUCGGGUUGUGAACCGCUUUCGCCGGUGACGAAGCGUGAGUGACGGUAAUGGGUAAAGAAGCCCCGGCUAACUACGUG